CCCGUUUCCGCCUCCCUGCCCUCGGUGCUGGGAUAGGGAAAGCAAGGACGCGUGUCUCCGCGGGGCUUUUACACGUCCGGAGCAAAGAAUAUUCGGGGCCCAUUGAUUGAGAAAUGAGGGUUGCUUCGAGGUCGCGGCUUCCGGAAAUUCUGUUCUCGAGUCGGGUUGCGGGUCAGGUUCCAAAGGGACAGUGGCCCCGGGGUCACAAUCACUACCUCUGCCCACUGCUUUCCGCAGCUGCUGGUCUUUGGGGUGAGCUGUUGGGUUGCCCGAGCUUCGGGUAAGGCGCGAGUGGGCAGGAGGUCUAGAUUUCGGCCUCCGAUAACUGUCUUCGACUAGGGGCCCAGGUAACGACCCCCACAUUUUCGUUGGGGUCUCCACCCGUAACCCCAGCCAGCACGACAUUCAGACACCCCUCCAGGCCCAAUUAGCUUCACAGACGCUCAAGACUUGGGAAAACAAAAGAGGAGAAGAUAACUGAACCCCUCUCCCUGUGCCCACCCCACUGUCGGGACCUGGGUGGGUUGGAGAAUAAAAGAGGGCUGACCCCGCGGAUUAAAACGGCUCCCUUCCCAGCCUCGUCCUACCCCUUCCCCUUUGUCCUUAAUGGUUUUUUAUUAUUGUCAGGAGUUGCCCAAGUCUCGAGGUUUAGCCAACCGUGACAGUCAUCUUUCCCACCGUUCCCGGGCUGUGACCCAUUCUCGGGACACUGGUGGAUAAGAAUGGGGUCUCUGGAGUCCGACGCCUGGAUUCACGUCCUGGCUAGUCGCGUGAACCUUGGUGCUCUCAUCUGUGCAGUGGGAAUAAUGCAGGUUCUGGGCAGGGAUGGGAAGAGUGAAUGCGCUGGUACGGUAAGGUGCCUCGCAGGCACGUGAGGGCCUCUCUAAUCGUUAGCUAUUGUCACCGAUUGUAUUGUUAU
rnacentral:lncRNA from 10 species